GAGUUUGAUCGUGGCUCAGGAUGAACGCUGGCGGCGUGCCUAAUACAUGCAAGUCGAGCGAACGGGCGAGAAGCUUGCUUCUCUGAUGUUAGCGGCGGACGGGUGAGUAACACGUGGGUAACCUACCUAUAAGACUGGGAUAACUUCGGGAAACCGGAGCUAAUACCGGAUAAUAUUUUGAACCGCAUGGUUCAAAAGUAAAAGACGGUCUUGCUGUCACUUAUAGAUGGAUCCGCGCUGCAUUAGCUAGUUGGUAAGGUAACGGCUUACCAAGGCAACGAUGCAUAGCCGACCUGAGAGGGUGAUCGGCCACACUGGAACUGAGACACGGUCCAGACUCCUACGGGAGGCAGCAGUAGGGAAUCUUCCGCAAUGGGCGAAAGCCUGACGGAGCAACGCCGCGUGAGUGAUGAAGGUCUUCGGAUCGUAAAACUCUGUUAUUAGGGAAGAACAUAUGUGUAAGUAACUGUGCACAUCUUGACGGUACCUAAUCAGAAAGCCACGGCUAACUACGUGCCAG
rnacentral:rRNA from 1 species